rnacentral:rRNA from 1 species
UGCCAGACUCCUACGGGAGGCAGCAGUGGGGGAUAUUGCACAAUGGGGGAAACCCUGAUGCAGCGACGCCGCGUGGGUGAAGAAGCGCCUCGGCGCGUAAAGCCCUGUCAGCAGGGAAGAAAAUGACGGUACCUGAAGAAGAAGCCCCGGCUAACUACGUGCCAGCAGCCGCGGUAAUACGUAGGGGGCAAGCGUUGUUCGGAAUGACUGGGCGUAAAGGGUGCGUAGGCGGUGUAGCAAGUUAGAAGUGAAAUACCUAGAGCUUAACUCAGGUGCUGCUUCUAAAACUGCUAUACUUGAGUGCAGGAGAGGAAAGUGGAAUUCCUAGUGUAGCGGUGGAAUGCGUAGAUAUUAGGAGGAACAUCAGUGGCGAAGGCGACUUUCUGGACUGUAACUGACGCUGAGGCACGAAAGUGUGGGGAGCAAACAGGAUUAGAUACCCGCGUA